UCCUCACCCAGCAUCCAUAAAAGCAUGCUGCACCUUUGGCACAGCGCGACUUCCCUGGCCCUCCCCCUGCGGACCAGUGAACCUCGCCCGAGGGCUCAAUAAAGAAGAUUUUUGCCCUCUUUUUCUCACCUCUCAGCCUUAUUGAUCCAUGGUGCCCUUCCAUUGCCUUUCAUUGGUGCCGAAACCCGGGAGGGGACACCUCCUAAGCCCCCCCAGAGGCUCAGGGGGACUCCCCUCCUGGUCGGAUCAGUCCUCUCCCUCAGUCAGGUCAGGCUUCUCCUCCACGGCCAUCUGUCCAUUUCGUCCGGUUACUUGCUGCCAGGUCGCAGUUGCUGCAGCUACUCCAGUCCAAUUCGGCCGACGCUAGAUCAACUGAGAUGCAAAACCCAUGUUCACAUCAUGAGUGAGUCUUCUAACUCGGACAAUGCAAUCAACAAAUUCUAAGACCAAAUUCCGGUGGCACUGGCUCCAAAGAAAUUUUCUGCUGAUUUUCUUGAUUGUGAUAUACCUCAGCACUUGACUUGCUGAAUAAGACAACUGUGGCAAUUAUGACUACUGACAAGAAUAUUGUGUAAAUGAUCAAGAAUAACUUGUUAUAUAUCUAGACCAGAUAUAUAUGAAAGAGAAAAUUGACAAAGGUGGAGCAAGUAUCCCAGCUAUUAAUGUGUAA
rnacentral:lncRNA from 1 species